UACUACUGUUUGACUUCUAAAAUGAUAUACAUGGAUAUGCUUAUUUCUCUUGUGUUUUCCUUUUAUUAAAAAAAAAGUUUAUUUUUUAAUUUUAAAGGUGCAUGUUAGGGCCAGGCACAGUGGUGCAUGCCUGUAAUUUCAGCGGCUCAGGAGGCUAGGGCAGGAGGAUCACAAGUUCAAAGCCAGCCUCAGCAAAAAGCAAGGCACUAAGCAAUUCAGUGAAACCCUGUCUCUAAAUAAUAAUACAAAAUAGGGCUGGGAAUAUGGCUCAGUGGUUGAGUGCCCCUGAGUUCAAUCCCUAGUACAAAAAAAAAAAAAUGUUGAUAUUGGUGCUGGGGUUGUGGCUCUGUGGUAGAGAGCUUCCCUAAUGUGUGAAGCACUAGGUUUGAUCCUCAGCAUCACAUAAAAAUAAAUAAAAUAAAGGUAUUAUGUCUAUCUGCACUAAAAAAAAAAAAAAAAUUUUUUAAAAAAGUGAAUGUUGUUCAAAGUUUUAUUUUGGGGUUAAGGGUAUAACUCAGCGGCAGAGUACUUGCCUAACAUAUGUAAGGCCCUGAGUUCCAUCACCAGCACAGCAAAAAUAAUAAUGAUGAUUGUUGUUGUUGCUGUUGUUUCUGGGCCUGAUCUGGUGAGAUUUCAAACCAGUAGUAGGACUCACGAAUCUGAACUUAACUAGAACCUCGAGAAAUUUGGAAGCAAAUGGUCCAUGGAUGAUACUUUG
rnacentral:lncRNA from 1 species